UACGAGUGCCCCGAGCGUUAUCCGGAAUCAUUGGGCGUAAAGGGUGUGUAGGUGGUUAUGUUAGUCGCUUGUUAAAACCCGGGGCUUAACCCCGGAAUCGCGAGCGAAACGGCAUGACUAGAGGAUGGCAGGGAUGUAUGGAACUCAUGGAGUAGGGGUGAAAUCCGUUGAUAUCAUGGGGAACACCAAAAGCGAAGGCAGUACAUUGGGCCACUCCUGACACUGAAACACGAAAGCGUGGGUAGCGAAUGGG
rnacentral:rRNA from 1 species